rnacentral:rRNA from 1 species
UACGGGGGGGUGCGAGCGUUGUCCGGAAUCACUGGGCGUAAAGGGCGCGUAGGUGGUUUGAUAAGGGUGUGGUGAAAUCCCGAGGCUCAACCUCGGGUCUGCAGCUCGAUACGGGGCAAACUAGAGUAUUGCAGGGGAGACUGGAAUUCCUGGUGUAGCGGUGAAAUGCGCAGAUAUCAGGAGGAACACCGGUGGCGAAGGCGGGUCUCUGGGCAACUACUGACGCUGAGGAGCGAAAGCGUGGGGAGCGAACAGG